CACAAGCGGAGGAACAUGUGGUUUAAUUCGAUGAUACGCGAGGAACCUUACCUGGGCUUAAAUGGGAGUGACAGCUGUCGAAAGAUGGUUUUCUUCGGACACUCUUCAAGGUGCUGCAUGGUUGUCGUCAGCUCGUGCCGUGAGGUGUCGGGUUAAGUCCCAUAACGAGCGCAACCCUUACCGUUAGUUACCAUCAGGUUAAGCUGGGGACUCUAGCGGGACUGCCACCGUAAGGUGAGAGGAAGGUGGGGAUGACGUCAAAUCAGCACGGCCCUUAUGUCCAGGGCUACACACGUGUUACAAUGGCCAGUACAAAGGGCAGCUACCGGGUGACCGGAUGCUAAUCUCUAAAGCUGGUCUCAGUUCGGAUCGAAGUCUGCAACCCGACUUCGUGAAGCUGGAUUCGCUAGUAAUCGCGCAUCAGCCAUGGCGCGGUGAAUACGUUCCCGGGCCUU
rnacentral:rRNA from 1 species